rnacentral:rRNA from 1 species
AGCGAACGCUGGCGGCAGGCUUAACACAUGCAAGUCGAACGCCAUCUUCGGAUGGAGUGGCAGACGGGUGAGUAACGCGUGGGAACGUACCCUUUGGUUCGGAAUAUUCUCGGGAAACUGGGAGCAAUACCGGAUAAGCCCUACGGGGGAAAGAUUUAUCGCCAAAGGAGCGGCCCGCGUCAGAUUAGGUAGUUGGUGGGGUAAAGGCCUACCAAGCCUACGAUCUGUAGCUGGUCUGAGAGGAUGAUCAGCCACACUGGGACUGAGACACGGCCCAGACUCCUACGGGAGGCAGCAGUGGGGAAUUUUGGACAAUGGGCGAAAGCCUGAUCCAGCAAUGCCGCGUGAGUGAUGAAGGCCUUAGGGUUGUAAGCUCUUUACCAGGGAUGAUAAUGACAGUACCUGGAGAAUAAGCUCCGGCUAACUCCGUG